rnacentral:lncRNA from 1 species
CAUCCUCAAAGUCAACAUAGAGUAGUCCAGUAAUACAUAAAAAUCAGAUUGGUUAGCAUGACUGCACUGUACCUAACUUCAAUAAACUAAAUUUGCCCCUGAAUAUCACUCACAUUCUAAUUUUAGCAAUACUAAAGCACCAGUUUCUCCUGCUUUAAUUGUGAACAAUGAACUUAUUUAAAUCACAUAAAUAUAACCCUCCACAUUUUAUCCAUUUUUGGUUUUAUUUUCUUUUUAUCUACUGAAGAUGAAAAAGUGGUUAUAAAGUACUAAAUAUAUCAAAUAGAAAAAAUGAAAUUGAGAGGAGACAAUGGUGAAGUUGAAAGUCUUAAGGUAAGAAGGCCAGCUAAAAACUGUAAUAGAAGAGGCCAGAACGGUGCAUACAGAUACUAACACGGAAAUUUGCUAUUUAAUAAAUUCUUUUGACUUUUAUUAUUGUUUCUGAAUGAGGAGAAUAUCUACUAGCAAAUCCAAAAAGGAAAAAGUACCUGAAAAAAACUUAUACAUCCACUCUUCCAUUAUUCAACUAAAGCAAACAUGAGACCAAGUCUACAAAUGCUGAAUCCACUUUUCCUAACAUUCUGCAAAAGAAUUCACCUACUGCACAACUUUCCAGGAUUGUGCAUAAUUUUAUAACUCAAGCUUAUCUAUUAACACCUGUAACUCCUCCCCCAGGAUGAUCUCCUUGUCUUUUCUUAGGCAUCAAGAUGCAGAAAG